CACUGCCGAGAAAAGCCUCUAGAUAGAAAAUAGGUGCCCGUACCGCAAACCGACACAGGUAGUCAAGAUGAGAAUUCUAAGGUGAGCGAGCGAACUCUCGUUAAGGAACUCGGCAAAAUGACCCCGUAACUUCGGGAGAAGGGGUGCUCUUUAGGGUUAACGCCCAGAAGAGCCGCAGUGAAUAGGCCCAAGCGACUGUUUAUCAAAAACACAGGUCUCUGCUAAACCGUAAGGUGAUGUAUAGGGGCUGACGCCUGCCCGGUGCUGGAAGGUUAAGAGGAGUGGUUAGCUUCUGCGAAGCUACGAAUCGAAGCCCCAGUAAACGGCGGCCGUAACUAUAACGGUCCUAAGGUAGCGAAAUUCCUUGUCGGGUAAGUUCCGACCCGCACGAAAGGCGUAACGAUUUGGGCACUGUCUCAACGAGAGACUCGGUGAAAUCAUAGUACCUGUGAAGAUGCAGGUUACCCGCGACAGGACGGAAAGACCCCGUGGAGCUUUACUGUAGCCUGAUAUUGAAAUUCGGCACAGCUUGUACAGGAUAGGUAGGAGCCUUUGAAACGUGAGCGCUAGCUUACGUGGAGGCGCUGGUGGGAUACUACCCUAGCUGUGUUGGCUUUCUAACCCGCACCACUUAUCGUGGUGGGAGACAGUGUCAGGCGGGCAGUUUGACUGGGGCGGUCGCCUCCUAAAAGGUAACGGAGGCGCUCAAAGGUUCCCUCAGAAUGGUUGGAAAUCAUUCAUAGAGUGUAAAGGCAUAAGGGAGCUUGACUGCGAGACCUACAAGUCGAGCAGGGUCGAAAGACGG
rnacentral:rRNA from 1 species